rnacentral:rRNA from 1 species
AUUGAACGCUGGCGGCAUGCCUUACACAUGCAAGUCGAACGGUAACAGGUCUUCGGAUGCUGACGAGUGGCGAACGGGUGAGUAAUAUAUCGGAACGUGCCCAGUCGUGGGGGAUAACGCAGCGAAAGCAGUGCUAAUACCGCAUACGAUCUAUGGAUGAAAGCGGGGGAUCGCAAGACCUCGCGCGAUUGGAGCGGCCGAUAUCAGAUUAGGUAGUUGGUGGGGUAAAGGCCCACCAAGCCAACGAUCUGUAGCUGGUCUGAGAGGACGACCAGCCACACUGGAACUGAAACACGGUCCAGACUCCUACGGGAGGCAGCAGUGGGGAAUUUUGGACAAUGGGCGCAAGCCUGAUCCAGCGAUGCCGCGUGCAGGAUGAAGGCCUUCGGGUUGUAAACUGCUUUUGUACGGAACGAAAAGGCUCUGGUUAAUACCUGGGGCUCAUGACGGUACCGUAAGAAUAAGCACCGGCUAACUACGUGCCAGCAGCCGCCGUAAAAC